rnacentral:rRNA from 1 species
ACACGACUACAUUAGAUACCCCUGUAGUCCUGGCCGUAAACGAUGUGGACUUGGUGUUGGAAUGGCUCCGAGCUGCUCCAGUGCCGAAGGGAAGCUGUUAAGUCCACCGCCUGGGAAGUACGGUCGCAAGACUGAAACUUAAAGGAAUUGGCGGGGAGCACCACAACGCGUGGAGCCUGCGGUUUAAUUGGAUUCAACGCCGGACAUUUCACCAGGGGCGACAGCAGAAUGAUGGCCAGGUUGAUGACCUUGCUUGACAAGCUG